UACGGAGGGUGCAAGCGUUAUCCGGAUUUACUGGGUUUAAAGGGUGUGUAGGCGGACUUUUAAGUCAGCGGUGAAAUCUCCGGGCUCAACCCGGAAACUGCCAUUGAUACUAUUGGUCUUGAAUGUUGUUGAGGUGGGCGGAACGGGUCGUGUAGCGGUGAAAUGCAUAGAUAUGACCCGGAACACCGAUUGCGAAGGCAGCCCACUAAGCAACGAUUGACGCUGAGGCACGAAAGCGUGGGGAUCAAACAGG
rnacentral:rRNA from 1 species